rnacentral:lncRNA from 1 species
GUCUUUAGCUGAAGAUGGUAUUUAAGAUGAGACCCUCCUCCAGUUUGGUGUCUCCCAUGUAUACAUGUUAUAAAGCUUUGUUUGAUUUUCUCCUGUUAUUCUGUCUCAUGUCAAUUUAAUUCAUAGCCCAGCCAAAAGGACCCAAUAGAGGAUAUGUCUUCCUCCCCGACAGCUUCCUGAGAACCCCUAAUGUCCAUCUGUCUGGUGAGCAAGACAAAUCGUGCCCUUUGUGUGGUAACAAAAUCUGGUGACCAUGAAGGGACAAUAAGUUCUGCUCAUGGCCAGUCGACCUCAGAUGAGUGACCUGUUGGGUAAGUCCUUUGCAGCUGCUGAGACUCCUUUUGUCUCAGGGAUCUGCCCUUCUUCUCUCCCAUGCUGAUGCUAGCUGCCUCCUAAUGUUCCCUAUGGUGGAAAGAGAAACGAUUACUUCUGGUGGGUUGAUUGGCUCACAUCUGGAGUAGGAUAAGUCAUCUUGGGGGUGCACUACUGAGAACUUCCUUUCUCCCCCUUCUGGGGUUCCCUCUUUGAGAAGGGGGACCAUCUGGUUCCCUGCUAGAGUGGGAAGAGGUAUAGGACUUCACCCAAAAUCUAGGAGCCAGUUUGCUGGUGUCUGGUUUUUCUGUGUUUGUGUUUGUGUCUAUGUCUCUAAAGAGCUCCAGGAUCAGACAUCUUUUGGGUGCGUGACCUUGUUGAAAUGUGCCUGUGCCUGGAAUUGUCUAGUAUCUCAUCAGGAUAGUGGGUUAUAGGCCCCACUGGUGAGAUUUGGCUGCUGGGUUCAAGUCUCAAGGCCAGGAUUGUGGGAGACAAUAUAAAGGGGUUACAGCUGCUGGGGCACUCAAUAGGAUCAGGUUAGAGUCCUGAGCUCUGGGUUAGAGUCCCAGAAGGAUUGGAUUUUGGUGUCUGUUCAUGUUUGUCUAUACCUGACUAUUCUAUUUGUUAAAAUUGGCUGUUUGGGGACUGAGUUUCUCAGUGAUUAUAAUAAACUCUUUUUAAAUUAUCCUGUUUGUUGUGAGCGACUUGGGAAAAGCCCCAGAAAACGGGGAUAACUGUAAACAGCUGGUAAGAUAACCUGGAAUGAUUUAAAAUUAUAGUGGCCAUUUUGGGCUCUUUUUGAGCCUCCAAACCAAGGAACAAGGACAAAUCUUUAAUCUUUAAAGAGUCAAGGACUCCACCUUUCAACCAAAAGUUUCCAGAAACUGUAAAUGUUUGCAGAGAACAGCAGAAUCUUGCCAAGCUUGUUUGGGUCCUGAGGGCUUGGCUUGAUAACUGUUAGGUUAGGGGGGAGGUUCUAAAAUACAGUUGGACAAAAAUAUGGUUGCACCCCAUUUUGCAGUAAGAGAUAGUCGGAUGGAAAUGCAGGCUGCACUCCUGUUUGUGGCUAAGAGUCCUACCAAACUGCCAUCAGCCUCAGGGGAAAUAGAUCGGCUGUUAGAAGAAAGUCUUGGCUGGGCCUUCAUUGUAAGGGUCUUGAUUCCAGGGAUGCUUGAAAUUUUUGCAAUCUGAUUCUAGCUUCAGCAUAAAUAUACUUUUGACCAGUGAUGUCUAAAUUUUGAAACAAUGGGAAACAGUAAUUCGAUCCCCACCUGUAGCCUCUUAGGCUGCAUUCUCCUAAAUUGGGUGACUUUUAGCUACAAGUAAGUAGUAUGAGCUACUGAGUCCUUAAUGUAUUGAUCUUUCUCCUCUCAGAGACAGCCACUAUUUUUCUUGUCUCUGUUUUAUGUGUUUGUGUCAUUUGUCAUAAAAAGGAAAGACCAUAGAGCAAGAUGCAGGCACUCCAUGAGCAUGUUGUCUGGGUGGCCACAGUAGACUUCGCUGCAGGACCCGCCUAUGGAAUACGUGCAUAAGGUGGAAGCUAUUGCCGAGGGCAUCUUGGAAGCCAAAAGGGCUGCGAUAUGGGUGGGCACAGGUCGAGCAGUUAAGAGCCAAUAGGAUGCUCGCCAUCUCAAGAAGUCUCCCGUGAAAGGAUGAGUUGAUCAUGGAACAGGGUAGAUGACACAAGUCCCCCUGCCAACUUCAAGAAAAUGUCCGUGCAAUGAUGAGGUACUCUGUAAAACAUACACAAUCCCCAACCACGUGGCACCUCCUUCCUAGGUAUUAUCCUGGCUCUGAAAGACCCAAAGCAUAGCUGAAACUGUUAACGUGCAUAUAAGAUGAGGGCUUGUUUCUUUUUGUCUAGUGCUAUGUCCUGAGAGCUUGGCUUGGUGACGUCUCUGGUCACAAGGGGUCCCAGUCCAUCGGGGGCCUGUGUCGUCUCAACCUUUGUUGCCUGUCAGUGCACUACCACCUGUGCAGCAGAAGCCUUUGCUUCCUUGGAUUAUUUUUGGGAGUGAAGUUUCUAGAUCUUGUGAGGUCUGCUUCUUUUGCACUCUCUUGUGAAGAUGCCUCUUGCAUCCAAGGUAAGCCAUAAAUGCUUGUAGAUAUUGGAACGUUAUAAAAAGCUCAUAAGGAAAAUGUGCCCCAGAAACUCCAUCUUGGAGAAAACUUAAGUGUCUUUAUGAUGUAGUUGGACAGGUAGAUCAACCUAUAAUGUCAUUUGAGUUACAACCCAGUUUCUGAGAAAUCAAGAGCAACUGUCCCUGGAAAAUCCUUGUAAGGCUGGUAAAGCAGCUCUAGAGGUGGUUCAGGUUCCACCCAUUUCCCUUAUCUCAAAGAGCUUGCAAAUCCUCUGGGGACUACCUAGCCCAUCACUAAUUCCUAAGAUUGAAGAAAAAAAAGGGGGAAAUGAAAAAAAGGGCAGAAAUGUGCCCUUGCCAAAAAUCUAGCAUCUUGAAUGUCUUCUCUACAAAUAUUAGUAAAAAAGGCUUAAAACAAAAAUUUGCUUUCAUAGUUAGGGAGCCUUGUACCUGAUUCAUGGCAGUAAUUUUAAAACAAUAGCUGUGCAGUCUCUGUGUAUGUGUGUCUAUAUGUAUGUUAAAUGUGUGUGAUAUUUUUACCUCCAGAUGGUAUGGCCAAAAAUUGAGAGCUCUGUUUAAUUGGCUUAAAAUAAGUGCUUACCUAAAUUAUUUCUAAAUGGAAAAGAAAUUAACCCAAAUGUCUGAGUUAACAUGAUAUAAAAUUAAUCUUUGAUACCUGAAAGCUUAUUUAAGAUCAUUGGUUUGAUUGAAAUAAGCAUGUCCGUAUUUGGAUAUGAUGCGGACAUGUCUGGUUUUAUUGGUCAAAUAAGCUGGUGUUAUCUCUACCACAAAAGUGGUUAGCAAAAAUAAUAACUUAAAAUGUUGGCUAAUUUUAUCUAAUGUCUCAUGAAGUUUUGUAGGCAACCUAAGUAAUUAUUAGAAACAAGGAAAAGAAUAAACAUAAAAAGGGUGAAAGUUUUGGGGGAAACUUUUUAAGAAUGAUUAUGUGCUAUGAUGUAUGCCUUUAAAACAACUUAAGAUGAUGGCUAAGUGCUUUAUUGUCACAUGAAGUUUUUGUGAGUAAUCUAAACAUGAUUGUUACAAACAAAUGGUCUAGAUAAAAGUGAGAUAAGAGUUUACAGAUAAACUUUAGCAAUAAUUAUGGUUUAUGACAUGCGUACUUAAAAUAGCUUCCAAAAUCUCUUUGGUGACUUGAAACAUUGAAGUUUUGAUAGGUUAAACUGAAUAAUAAAAUUCAUUGAGUUAUCUAGAUCAUUUCUCAAUAAGAUAGAAUAUUAGAUGUUAAUUAUUAAAUCUGGUUUAUCUACUUUUGGCUUCUUUUUACAAAGAAACUAAAAGGUCUUUGAGUCUAUUAGUAAACAUGAAUUGUAUUUUAUUAAGUUUGUGUCAUGAAGUAGCAUGUUCCUAGAAAUUAUAAAUACUAUUUAUAAAUUUGCCAAGCCACAGUAUGCUAAUGUAAAAGACAGUUCAUAAUUGCUUAGCUUUGAGUUUUUACUAGGGUCUGUAAGGGUUAAAAAUUCUAAUUAAUGUAUGUAAUUAAAGCUACUAAAAAUUAAUACGGCAAACAUCUUUGUACCUAAGAAAAGUAAAAUGUAUGUUUUCAGUAAAGAAGCUAUAAAGAAUGGAAAUAUUUUUGUUUGUUGGGUUAAGAAAGAUAGAUUUGUUUUAAAGUACUAGAAGAAAAAAAGGAAGCAUGGGACAAAUUCUGAAUGUAAAAAGAAAGUUAAAGAAGAUUUGUGAAAGAGAAAUUCUGAAAGGCGUUUUAUACCUGGUCAAGUUGGCUAAGAUUAAAGUAAAUCCAACUAAGUAAAUGAGUUUUAAUGUAAAAGAAAAUGAGCUGGUACAAAAAUUAAAAUUUGGUUUUCUCUCUCAAAAGGAUAAUUUUCUUGAACUUUUGGUCUUCUCUUGAUAAAGAGGUUAUAAAAGGGUUUUCUUUAACAUUAAGUUUAUCUAAAAGACAGAAAAUCUAGGUUUUGUUAAAGUAAUUUCCUAUGUUCAGAAAGAAAGAGGUCCCUCUAUUAAGAUUUUUUUUGACUGUUUUAACUGUUCUUGACUGUUUCUGUGGUCACUUUGUAUAGAUAACUGAGCAUUGUUUCCUAUAAGAACAAUUGUUUUAAAAUGUUUUGAUAUUUUUGAGAAGCUUCCUCCGCCUCCAACCAAAAUAUUCAAAUCCUGAAUAAAAGCUUUCUUUUGACUUGGGUGAAGGGAGAGAAUCUUGCUGAGGAUUUUCAGAGGGCCCCUGAGACUUCUCAAAGAGAUUUUCUCUCUCUUUCCAUAAGGAGGAAGACACUAAGCUAAUUAGGCUUAUUUGGUAUGUUAAAUUACACAGGAAGCAUUGUCAAAGAAGUGAUGAUAAACUUUCUAUGGUGGUACUAUGUGAGUAAAUGUUAUUGAUAUAAAUGUUUUAAAAAUUACAUAACAUUCCUAAAAUUCCCAUUGGUCCUGGUUGUCAGCCAUAAUUCUGGUUAUUAUUUUAAAGUAUUGUAUGUCACAAAAUUAACCAAAUUUCUUUUUCAGUUGUCAUUUAGGGAUCUUGUUCUUUACAGAUAGUUAUUGUUUUACUCUGAUGCUUUUGCAGAUAUGUUUCGUAUUCAGAGAAAUUCGUGGAAAGGACUCUGACACUCUGGAAUACAGGUUUCUGACCCACUUCAGAUCGUAAAACUGAAGUGGGUAAGAAAUUAUAGAACUCUAAUAGAGAAACUGAUGAGCUCAUGAAACUGCUGACAGAAGAUUAAGAUCAAGAAUCAAUUACACAGGACUGUGGAACUGAUGAGCAGGAUUAUAAUUUUUAUGAUUUUUGUUUAAAAUCUUGUUGAUUUUUUAAUGUUUUGUUUUGUUUUCCCAGAUUUUAGGAAAUCUUUUUUUUUUCUCUUAUGCUAACUAUGACUUAUAGCAAUUUGGUGAAAUUAUACCUUUGUGAGCAGAAUUGAAACAUUUAUCUUUUUCUCCCUACCUGAUCCCUCCAGAAUUUGGAAACUCUUAGUGAGUGAGUGAGUAUGGUUAUUUUCAUGGCAAUAUAGUUAUUUGCAUAAGUUCAGUAAGAAUCUGUUCCCCUUAUAACAGGACACAUUUGGAAACAUUGAUUAUAUAACCAAGGCUUUGACUAGAAUGCCAUAUUUGAGAGACACAUAUAGACUCAGAUAUGACAAGACAGCUUUUGAGGAAUAAAUGUUGACUUCUUGGAAUAAAGCCACUUGGAAAUAUUGGCCUGAUAACUUGUUUACAAGGAUUCCAGCAACCUGGGUAAGUAAGGAAGGUCACUUAUCUGGCAGGUACCUGGAACCUUGAAAUACUUUGGGGAACCUCAAGGCAAGAGAGGAAUUCACUCAAAUCUAAAGUGUUGCAGGCGGAGCCUGAUGACAAAUCCUUGGCUUGGAUUUUCUGGCCUCAAGAAGCUUUUAAAGUUCAACCUGAGAUUCCUUAUAAAAAGUUCCAGCAAAGCAGAUUUUAAAAAGCAUAUAUGAUCAAUGGCUAUUCUUGCUGUACUUAUGUAAAUAAUUGAAUUAAGUUUUAUUGAAACUAGGCUUAUUUUGCAAACUAAUGAGUCUUAAUUGGCUAUCUUUGGUAAAAAGGGGGUGAUUUUAGAGAGAAAAAUUAUAUUUCAGUAGGAGCUAUGGUACACAUUCGUGGAUAUUAGAUUCUAGUUCUGUUAAGUGCAUUUGAGGUUUUUGUUUGUAUCUGUUUACUGUACUGGAUCCUAAACUCUUCUAGUCUCUUGAAAUAUCUGGCUACAUAUCUCCAAACUAGCUAUUUCAAUAUUUUUUUCCAUCAUUUUCACUUGGAAUCAUUGAGAACUGAACCUGCCCUUUUCCUGCCAAGUCUUGCAAACUGAAGCUGGAGGACUUGAUAUAAACUUAAGAGGGAGAGAUUCAUAUCUGUUGCUGUGUAAGCCCCUCAGAAAGAUACCUGAACACCCAAUGACAUCAUCAGGGACAUCUAAAACUGCAAAAGAUGCUUUGACCCUGACAUCUAGAAAUCUUCUUGACUGGCUGCCCCUGGGCUCAGAACUGGUUUAUAAUUUGCUCCCACCAUUAGCCUUACUCUCCUUCUGUCUCUCUAGAAAUGCUUCUUAUUAAAUACCUGGUUACUUGCUUACCCAAUAUAGGCCUAACUUCAGGAACCCACCUGCAUCACCAUCUUACUAAGAGACUGGUUCAAUGAGAUGGAACAACCUAUGCUCCUCAACGACAGGAUGUCCCUCAAGAUUGAGGAAUGAAAAACAAAAAGGCAGAAUUGAAACCGACUCAACACAAGAUUGACAUAACGCAAGCCAUAUUGUAGAAAAGAGACCAUGUUGUAACUUUGAAUGACCUCUGACUGACUAACCCAGCUGGAUUUGCACCCUCCAGGAGAUCCACCUGUUCUGUGGAUUUUAUGACCUCUGCUAGUGCAUAUACCUGCCAUCUGCAAUAAGAUGAUAACUUCAUGCUUUUGAGUUCCUUAGGAAUGUGAUGACCCCCCAAACAGAGAGUCUAUGCUGAUAGCCAUCUUCAAUGAAAACUGAAAGAUCUGGUGUGGCAACUCCCAGUCUGCAACACCAGAGGGUCAACAUUCCUAACCCCUCCCCUAUAACCCACUGGCCUAUAUAACUGCUUCAAGAUUCUGUGUCCCUUUUAAGAUUGUUCUUUUGGACAUUAUUAGGCCAUCUUCCCUCUUGCUAGCAAGCUGUAAUAAAAUGCCCUUUCUCUGCCACCAUCUUGCCUCUUGACGAUUGGCUUUUGUCCUGUGGCGAGCAGAUUGGGCUCUUUGUGUGAUAACAGUUUGAUUACUCUAAGCCUUCUCCCAAUGUUCUUGGCUACUUGUCCUUCUUCCUUAGAGCAUUUGUCUUGUCUCUAAGCCCUUGCUUUAAACCUAUGCUGUCUCCUCAUGGUGUCACACAUGCACACAGAGGACAGAAACACUUUCUUAAUGGAGGAUUGGAACCAAAGUGUUUGAAGAGGCCCCUCAGCACCCCUGAGCAUGGAGGCCAGAGUGGUUUGUCCUUCACCGUCACCAUGUCUCAUUCUCCUAAAGAGCUGGCUCAAAAGGAAAUGCACAGAUGCCCAGACUAUUUGCUAAAGGAAAUGACACAUUAUCCUCUUCCGAACAUCUGGUAAUUCCUAAAAGACAGUCAGGCCCUGAUAAUACGGUUGGCUCACUAGAAGCCUGAGUCUUCUUUCCCAAGGGAGGUGGGGGCGAACCAAGGAGGACAGAGUCUAUUUUUGGUGUCAGCCCUAGGGGAUGCCUUGAGGAGGGGGAGAGGGGUCACCAGCACUGCUGUUCUGUUCUGUUCUGUGAGCCAGGAAUGCAUGCUUCCUUCCUGUCCAGCCCUGAGCAGCCGUCUCUUUCUUAAGUUUCAGAUCUUCCAUGGAGAGCUGAAAAGAUUUAAAAAUUCCAUCAUGGGCCGGAAUGGCUUGACAUGAGGGCAGGUGAACUAAUGACUUGGGGAAAUGAGAUUUGUCAGAACACUGGGUGUUGAAGUUACUGCAAAGGAAAGCAGAGCUGUGUCAGGUUGAGUGGCUAUCACAAGAUGGAAUAGUGACUCAGAGGACUCACUAGCAUCUGGCUGCCCCUUGGCUAGGAAAUGCACAUUUUUUUUAGCCCUAAGGCAUCCUCUGGAGGCAAAAUGCAACAUGUAGAAAGAAUAGGAGAGGUGUGCGUGGAGUGCCUCGCUUCCCCAGUUAAUUGAUUUUGCACAGGUGAGAAGAAGCAAGCCUUGAACUCAAUGGGAAAUCCCGGAGGUGGAUGCCUCAGGACUGACCCCCGUUGGUCAGCAUCUAGACCAAUGAAGCACCUUAAGUCGAGGACUGAGAGAAGCAAGUCUUGUUCUCAUUAAAUUAGCCCAGGACUGGGGAGUGGGUGGAGGGGGUUGGGGAGGGCACCUCUGCCUCAGGAUCUAAGGCCACUUGUUGUACCAGGUCUUUGUUUUGUCCCAGCCAGGGCACUCUGGGGAAAGCAUCCUGAGAAUUCGCCCUGCAAACAGAAAGGGCAUUUCCUUGUGUGGGUUUCCUGUUUAGGUCUGCGUAGAAACCCAAAGGAUCACUUGGCCUCAUAAAUCCUCUAGACAUUACUGAUGUAGAUGCUCUGGCUAGAUGCCAUGGGAAAAUUGCACAAAAAUAGAAGAAGAGAGGAAAGCGCAUUCCCUCUCAGGAUUCUGGGUGGGUUUCAGGCUUCAUGUUUUUGUAAAUAGAGGGGGUUGGGCUAGAGGAGAUGAUCUUAAGUUCCCUUCCAGCUUUGCUAUUCUCAGAUUCCGUUGCCCUCCCAAGGGUCACCCGGAGCUCCCGCUCUCCCGCUCAGUAAUGGGGGUCUGCUGAGCACCUCUCCAAACAGAAGCAGGAUGGAAGUUUCAGGCAAAAAAUCAGGAAGUUGCCUUAGAAUCUCUUUUAGGCUCCUUCACAGAAAAAAGGUACUGGUUGAACUCUGGUAAUUCCCAGACUUUCCUAAACAUUUAGUUUUUUCCAAAAAUGACAGAUACCAGAUUCAGGAGUAUUGCAGGAGGUUUGCGGCUGGGUUUUGGCAUAAAGCAAGUUCACAGAAUGGACUCAAAAGUGGUGGAUAAGAUGUGUGUUAGGAGAUAUCACGCAUUUCGGGAUUCUUUUUUACUUCCUGUUCCCCUCAAGUUUUGCAUGUGUCAAAUGGGCAUUCAAACCUGUUGGUUUAAUGGAAGAAGCCAUGUUUUCAUACUUAUUCUGUGACAGAUUCCCCUUGGAGUCUGACCAAACAUUAGGUUAGAUGAGAGCGAUGAGGUGAAGACAGGAUUUCUUGCCGAAGAUUCCUGUGAGGAUAUUCUCAUUGUCUUAAAUUAUACUUUUUGUGUUCUAUUUUCUCACUUGUCCUUGUUUGUAUCAUUUAAAAAAUUUCUCAUAUGGAACUGCCCUUUUUUGGAAAGGCAGUACUAAAAUGAUAUUGAGUAACAUUAAGUUAACCUCCUUAGACUGGCGGUUCAGUGCUCUAGUAAGCUGACUAGAUAUUCUACUUAAAUGUGGAUAGACCCAUUUAUACAGCAACAUUUCUCAAGGCAAGAUUGCUCUCUUCUCAGUUCUCUCAGGUAUGAAUUGUGAUGUUUGUCUAUAAAAGUCAUUCCCUAGAGGAUAUUCUUACAUCUUUGUAAAUAAUUCAGCAAAGGAAGAUUACUUCCAAGGUCCCCUUCUGUUAUUUCACUUCCAAAUUUUGCUGUUGUGUAUCUGAAAUACAUUCUCCUUUUCCCUUGCUGACUCUGAAGUGGUUCUUAACUAAAGAAGCGGGAGGAAGGUAAAACGAUAUGAAGUUCUAAGCUUUCUGGGUCAGCACUCCCCAGAACACUAGUCCCUGGAAAGGUGUUUUCGAAUGUGCUUUCUGUGUCAAAUGUGUUGGAAAAUGCUGCUGUCCUUGAGAAUCACACUGCACUCUAGGGUGUUAGAACUCUGAAAAUUCAGACAAUAAAGAAACGUGUUCAACUUUAACUCAGCACUUCUCAAACUUAUCUGAUCAAGAACAUCUCUUUUUAUAUGAUAUCUUUAGCAGCCGUUAACAGAUGGAGGAGUAAGUGUUACAUGGGAAACAUUUUGAGAAAUGUUCUUCUCAGCCAGAAGACAGAGUUCACUGUCUUUUAUUUAGCACCUGGGGAUAUAUAUAUAUAUGCUAUAUAUAUAUAUAAAUACUAUGUAUAUAUAUAUAUACUAUGUACAUAUAUGUACAUAUACAUACAUAUACUGUGUCUAUUUUUGUUUGCCCCAUAUCUUCAACAAUGAACAUGAAUUAUUUCUAUAUUUCAGCUGAAAAACAAAAUAAACUUUAUUUUUAAAAAAGAAUCAACAUUAAGUUUCUAUACUUUUCAUUCGUGCUUAAGUGGACACAUCCACCUGCCUGCGGAGAAGCCGUCGGUUGUUCCUCCCACUUCUAGUCAGUUAUCUUGGUUUGCUUGGGGUUCCAUAGCGCUUGUCUUCUAAGGUCCUCUGUGUCUGUCCUUGGAGUGCGGACAGCUCCUUCAGACUGAGGGUAAAGCAAUUCACACAUGGCGGAAUGGUCCACCUGGGACAAGGAAAUGGCCCAAUCAAGCCCUCCAUACUAACUUGUUACUGGAUCAUGUGUCCAUGGGAGGACGUUGGCAGACCAGUCGGAAUUCUUGGUUGCUACCAAGCAAAAUCUCUCCUAGUUGACUUGAGCGGAAAGUGAACUUAUUGGAAGAGUGUUGUGCAGCUCACAGAAUCAGUGGGAAGGCUAGAGAACCAGGUGAUGAAAAUGAAUAAAAAUUGAGGGAGGCAGGACACAGCCAAGAUCUUGCCAGAGGGAUAGUCCACUUAGGGUGCGCCGCUGCUGCUGUCACUGCUGGACACGUGUCAUAAUGCUGCUGGGCUCUGAUCAGGCAUUGGUUGCUAUGCUUGCGGGCACUCAAAUCCACCACAGCCACUGCAAAUGACUUCUGCCUCCCCACAGGCUUCAGGUCCUAGAUGACAUGAUGGGGUCUCUGAUGGGCUGAGCCCAAGUGAUGUGCUGGUUUCCUAGUUUCUGGGGCACAGAUAGAAACUCUCUGCCCUCUUUGGCUUCUAAAAUGUUGGGGUUGAGUCCAGAAACCAAAAGAUGAGGUCCAAGGAGAGAGAUGGUACUGCUGUGGCUGCUGACAAAUCCUUAGAUGCCAGACCCAGACCCAAAACUGGACUGUGUAGGAGAAAACUGGUGGGGGUGACCACUUCAGAGCCUGGAGUCUUAGGAGUGGAACUAGAAAUCAGUGAUUAAAAAAUGAGAAAAAUUCCUUGUUUUGGAACUAACUUGGCUAUGCUCACCUCAGAAUUGUCCAGCCACUUGAACAGCUUCCAUUGUUCACUGGGACCUUUUGAGGAUUGUCAAUCUAUUCACAGGGAAGCGGGUUCCAAGAUCAGGAGUGCUUCCCUGGGAUUUCUUGAUUUGGAGCCUGAGGAAGAACAGCCUUGCCGCUGAGGCCAGGUGCUAAAGGGCUAUGAAGGUGAGAGCAAGAGCACAAACGAAUGCUACAUCUGGUUCUUCCAAAUAACAGAGAGACACAGGAAAACUGAAUGUGUUCUUGCCUCAGGUUCAGACUUGUUCAGUACAGCAAGCACUACAUAUAAGCGCCUGUCCGCUGUUCCCCUCUCUCUCUGCCUGCUCGUCUUGCUUUGGUGCUUGCCUGCGUGGCCCUGCAUGGCGUGAUGUGACAUGGCAGGCCUCCUAUUUCUAGUGGAUUGUGAGUAUAAUAAAAAAACUUCUUCCUUCAUGG